CCUACGGGCGGCAGCAGUGAGGAAUAUUGGUCAAUGGUCGGAAGACUGAACCAGCCAUGCCGCGUGCAGGAAGAAUGCCUUAUGGGUUGUAAACUGCUUUUAUAUAGGGAGAAUAAGGAGUACGUGUACUCUGAUGACGGUACUAUAUGAAUAAGCAUCGGCUAACUCCGUGCCAGCAGCCGCGGUAAUACGGAGGAUGCGAGCGUUAUUCGGAAUCAUUGGGUUUAAAGGGUCUGUAGGCGGGCUAUUAAGUCAGGGGUGAAAUCUUACAGCUUAACUGUGAAAUUGCCUUUGAUACUGGUAGUCUUGAAUAUUUGUGAAGUUUUUGGAAUGUGUAGUGUAGCGGUGAAAUGCUUAGAUAUUACACAGAACACCGAUUGCGAAGGCAGGAGACUAACAAAUGAUUGACGCUGAGAGACGAGAGCGUGGGGAGCGAACAGGAUUAGAUACCCGUGUAGUC
rnacentral:rRNA from 1 species